CAGAAAUAGGAAAGAUCUUCAAGACAGCUGCGAUUCUCAAGGCGAUGAGGCACAUGAGGAUCUCUGGCUGGGGGAGGGGGCUUUACAAAGAACAUCUGCCCAGGAAUCCUGGGAAGGAUUCAGGAAGGAGUGCUUUACCAAUGAAAUAAUUUCCACAGUCAACUGCGGCCACUUCUGCCGAGGUUUUACAGACCUCAGAUCAGCACGGAGAAAUGUGGAGAGGGGGCUGUUACCUCCACCAGAAGAAAAGGUGAUUGUCAGGGAGAAAAUGGACAGUUACAUAGAAAAGAGAAUCAACAGUCAAAGAAGAAGUGUUGGAUGAAAUGAUCCAAGGUGCCAGUCUUAAAUUGCCAGAAGAAGUUUCAGAGGCAGUGUUUGGACACCUCAGUCAAUUUUACCAGGAGCUGGACAGAACACAAUGGUUUAAGUAAGUCCCUGCUUGCUGUCAUUCAGCUGCUUUCCCUGAUUUUUGCAGAAAACUUGAAAACCAAGUAUAAUAGAAACGUAUAAUACAUUUCCCGGUGAUGGUUUUCUUAGUGAAAAAUGUUCAACUGUGGAGACAUUUGAAAGCUGCUACAAUAAUCCAUCCUGAAGAAACAAAGACUUGAAGUGUAUUGCCAUUUCCGGAAUUUGUUGUGCAAUGGAAUCUGCAAAUUUAUCCUUAUGUUUAUGGCUUUUCUGAACUUCUUGUAUGCUUUUGGCUACGGGGGAAACAAAACUUCAGAAAUUAAGAUGAGUCAAAAGUAUCCCUCUGCCAACAGUGAGUGAAGCUAGAAUAAUAAACCUGGCUACAUUGCAUAUUAAAUGUGGCUCUGCAAGGAAAAUCAACUUUGAUUAAAUCACUGACAAAUUUGCAGAAGUCUCAGAACCAAAAACUAUAAUGUCCCAUGCAUUAGCAAUAUGUAGGUAAAAGUUCUUCCCCUUUUCUCAGAAAAAGACCAGAAUUUAAAAGUAUUUACUUUUUUUCCUUUUUUGGCAAUGUAGUAUUUAUUUAUCUGCCAUGAUUAUAUAUGUGAAGUUUAAUAAAAGAAAAACUGGGGCUGGGCGUAGUGGCUCACACCUGUAAUCUCAGCACUGGAACGCCAAGGCAGGAGGAUUGCUUGAGCCCAGGAUUUUGAUACCAGCCUGAGCAACGUAGUGAGACCCCAUCUCCACCAAAAAAGGAAAAAAAACAGAGGCAGGCAUGGUGGCAAAAAGUUUUUUUGAGACAGGGUCUUGCUCUGUUGCCCAGGCUGGAGUGCAGUGGCACGACCUGGCUCACUGCAACCUCCGCUUCCCAGGCUUAAGCGAUUCUCCUGACUCCUGAGUAGCUGGGACUACAGGCACAUGCCACCAUACCCGGCUAAUUUUUUUUUUUUUUUUUUUGUAUUUUUAGUAGAGAUGGGGUUUCGCCAUGUUGGCCAGGCUGUUCUCGAACUCCUGACCUCAAAUGAUCCAUGUGCCUCGGCCUCCCAAAGUGCUGGGAUUACAAGCGUGAAC
rnacentral:lncRNA from 10 species